GGUCAGUUCCCCCAUCCUGCUGAGUUCAAGUGAAGUGUAGUUUGGCUCUGGUCAGACUGCAGGUCGUAUCUGCUGUGGCGUACAUGCCUGUUUGCACAAGCUGCUUGUUCUCUGGUUCUUUCUCUUACAUAACCCUCCAGUGGAGGCCAAGCAUCCAUCAAAUAGUGGAAUGAGAGAAGAUAAAGAAAGGGAGAGAGAUGUGGGAAGGUACUUGUCACAGCGGCUAAUGAACCGGAAGUCUCACACAUUCACAGAAAACGGCUUACCGUCUGCGUUGAAAAAUAAGGUGACACAAUGACGACGAGGGCAUGGAUGCUGACAUUGGACGGUCAAUUUGAAGUAUGCUGAAGAUGCUUCUUGCACUCUGGAAUUUACCAAAUUGAGGGCUAGUUUUUUAUUUGGUGGGUUAAACAAGGAAUGUUUGGAUGUGUUGGGAUUUUGCGAGCCGCGCAGGACCACAGCAGCCAAGUGGUGACAACCCCCUUCUCCCCCUCAAACAAGUGGUGUGGAGGCCAAACAAGCUGUGCUGGAGACCAGAGAGGAAGCUGAUUUUAAAAGGAUGCUCCAUCCUCUGCAAACAGUACAUAUAAAGUGAUGUACACUGUUGUGUGCAAAUGCUCUGCCUGGAUAAAUUGGACACCUCUACUUUGUUGCAGGACUGUUCUUGACUGUGUGUUUGUGAUGGAAAUGUUUUUAAGCUGUUGUUAUUUAAAUGGUUUCAUCCAACCUGAAAGAAACUAACAGCUUUCCUCUCUGCCUUUUUGUUUAUAGGUACUUCUUGGGCAUCAAUCCAGAGACAGACACAAACUCAAAGAGGCAGAGAGGACAUAUCAGCCAGCAAGCCUGUACACUGAUCAGGAAACUCAUUGAGUUCGAAUGGAUGGCAAUCUAGUGUGUAAGCAAUGUUCCAACGCCAAAAUGGACAAACCCAACUCUGGCUUUGUGUUAAGCUAGAUGUAGUCAUGCAGUGAGAUGAUCACUGAAUAUGUUCUACAGUGUGUCCUGGUUCGAUGGAGAGAAGCUUGACCGUCUGAACCUCUUUGCUGGAAAGUUUAGAAAGAAUUUAUUA